GACGAACGCUGGCGGCGUGCCUAAUACAUGCAAGUCGAGCGCGGGAAGCUUGCGGAAUCCUUCGGGAGGAAGUGAGCGGACCGAGCGGCGGACGGGUGAGUAACACGUGGGCAACCUGCCCGUAAGACGGGGAUAACCCCGGGAAACCGGGGCUAAUACCGGAUAGGUGACCUUUCUGCAUGGAGGGGUCAUGAAAGGCGGCGGAAGCCGUCGCUUACGGAGGGGCCCGCGGCGCAUUAGCUAGUUGGUGAGGGAAGGGCUCACCAAGGCGACGAUGCGUAGCCGGCCUGAGAGGGUGAACGGCCACACUGGGACUGAGACACGGCCCAGACUCCUACGGGAGGCAGCAGUAGGGAAUCUUCCGCAAUGGACGGAAGUCUGACGGAGCAACGCCGCGUGAGUGAGGAAGGCCUUCGGGUCGUAAAGCUCUGUUGUUCGUGAAGAAGGGGUUGGCCAGGAAAUGGGCCGACAUUGACGGUAGCGAACCAGAAAGCCCCGGCUAACUACGUGCCAGCAGCCGCGGUAACACGUAGGGGGCAAGCGUUGUCCGGAAUGAUUGGGCGUAAAGGGCGCGCAGGCGGCCUCUUAAGUCUGAUGUGAAAGCCCCCGGCUCAACCGUGGAGGGACAUUGGAAACUGGGGGGCUUGAGUGCAGGAGAGGGGAGUGGAAUUUCCCGUGUAGCGGUGAAAUGGGUAGAGAUGUGGAGGAACCCCCGUGGCGAAGGCGGCUUUUUGGCCUGUGACUGACGGUGAGGCGCGAAAGCGUGGGGAGCGAACCGGAUUAGAUUCCCUGGUA
rnacentral:rRNA from 1 species